UCCCAGCUAAUUCCAGCAAUGGAAUUAUAGAAUGGCUUGGAACUACACGCUCUACUGCUAUGGCAACUUGUUGCUAUAAAAUUCAACCACAACAGCUAACGCCUGAAGUGGUGGUGACGUAAAAAGUGGUAGGGCUACUUGGA
rnacentral:sRNA from 12 species